rnacentral:rRNA from 1 species
AACGAACGCUGGCGGCAGGCUUAACACAUGCAAGUCGAACGGUUGUAGCAAUACAGCAGUGGCAGACGGGUGAGUAACACGUGGGAACCUUCCUAGGGGUACGGAACAACUCAGGGAAACUUGAGCUAAUACCGUAUACGUCCGUGAGGAGAAAGAUUUAUCGCCCCUAGACGGGCCCGCGUAGGAUUAGGUAGUUGGUGAGGUAACGGCUCACCAAGCCUACGAUCCUUAGCUGAUCUGAGAGGAUGAUCAGCUACACUGGGACUGAGACACGGCCCAGACUCCUACGGGAGGCAGCAGUGGGGAAUCUUGGACAAUGGGCGCAAGCCUGAUCCAGCCAUGCCGCGUGAGUGAAGAAGGCCUUCGGGUUGUAAAGCUCUUUUACCAGGGACGAUAAUGACGGUACCUGGAGAAUAAGCCCCGGCAAACUUCGUGCCAGCCGCCGCAGUAA